rnacentral:rRNA from 1 species
AACGCUGGCGGCGUGCUUAACACAUGCAAGUCGAACGAUGAACCUCUUCGGAGGGGAUUAGUGGCGAACGGGUGAGUAACACGUGGGCAAUCUGCCCUGCACUCUGGGACAAGCCCUGGAAACGGGGUCUAAUACCGGAUACGACCAUNUCGGGCAUCCGAUGGUGGUGGAAAGCUCCGGCGGUGCAGGAUGAGCCCGCGGCCUAUCAGCUUGUUGGUGGGGUGAUGGCCUACCAAGGCGACGACGGGUAGCCGGCCUGAGAGGGCGACCGGCCACACUGGGACUGAGACACGGCCCAGACUCCUACGGGAGGCAGCAGUGGGGAAUAUUGCACAAUGGGCGGAAGCCUGAUGCAGCGACGCCGCGUGAGGGAUGACGGCCUUCGGGUUGUAAACCUCUUUCAGCAGGGAAGAAGCGCAAGUGACGGUACCUGCAGAAGAAGCACCGGCUAACUACGUGCCAGCAGCCGCGGUAAUACGUAGGGUGCGAGCGUUGUCCGGAAUUAUUGGGCGUAAAGAGCUCGUAGGCGGCUUGUCGCGUCGGAUGUGAAAGCCCGGGGCUUAACCCCGGGUCUGCAUUCGAUACGGGCAGGCUAGAGUU